rnacentral:rRNA from 1 species
GACGAACGCUGGCGGCGUGCUUAACACAUGCAAGUCGAACGGAAAGGCCCUGCUUUUGUGGGGUGCUCGAGUGGCGAACGGGUGAGUAACACGUGAGUAACCUGCCCUUGACUUUGGGAUAACUUCAGGAAACUGGGGCUAAUACCGGAUAGGAGCUCCUGCUGCAUGGUGGGGGUUGGAAAGUUUCGGCGGUUGGGGAUGGACUCGCGGCUUAUCAGCUUGUUGGUGGGGUAGUGGCUUACCAAGGCUUUGACGGGUAGCCGGCCUGAGAGGGUGACCGGCCACAUUGGGACUGAGAGACGGCCCAGACUCCUACGGGAGGCAGCAGUGGGGAAUAUUGCACAAUGGGCGGAAGCCUGAGGCAGCAACGCCGCGUGCGGGAUGACGGCCUUCGGGUGGUAAACCGCUUUCGCCUGUGACGAAGCGUGAGUGACGGUAAUGGGUAAAGAAGCACCGGCUAACUACGUG